GAUGAACGCUGGCGGCGUGCCUAAUACAUGCAAGUCGAGCGAACAGACGAGGAGCUUGCUCCUUCGACGUUAGCGGCGGACGGGUGAGUAACACGUAGGUAACCUACCUAUAAGACUGGGAUAACUUCGGGAAACCGGAGCUAAUACCGGAUAAUAUUUCGAACCGCAUGGUUCGAUAGUGAAAGAUGGCUUUGCUAUCACUUAUAGAUGGACCUGCGCCGUAUUAGCUAGUUGGUAAGGUAACGGCUUACCAAGGCAACGAUACGUAGCCGACCUGAGAGGGUGAUCGGCCACACUGGAACUUAGACACGGUCCAGACUCCUACGGGAGGCAGCAGUAGGGAAUCUUCCGCAAUGGGCGAAAGCCUGACGGAGCAACGCCGCGUGAGUGAUGAAGGUCUUCGGAUCGUAAAACUCUGUUAUUAGGGAAGAACAAACGUGUAAGUAACUGUGCACGUCUUGACGGUACCUAAUCAGAAAGCCACGGCUAACUACGUG
rnacentral:rRNA from 1 species